GACGAACGCUGGCGGCGUGCUUAACACAUGCAAGUCGAACGGAAAGGCCCUGCUUGCAGGGUGCUCGAGUGGCGAACGGGUGAGUAACACGUGGGUGAUCUGCCCCUUACUUUGGGAUAAGCCUGGGAAACUGGGUCUAAUACUGGAUAGGACCAUGCUGUAGGUGGUGUGGUGGAAAGAUUAGUUUCGGUAAGGGAUGAGCUCGCGGCCUAUCAGCUUGUUGGUGGGGUAGUGGCCUACCAAGGCGUCGACGGGUAGCCGGCCUGAGAGGGUGGACGGCCACAUUGGGACUGAGAUACGGCCCAGACUCCUACGGGAGGCAGCAGUGGGGAAUAUUGCACAAUGGGCGCAAGCCUGAUGCAGCGACGCCGCGUGGGGGAUGACGGCCUUCGGGUUGUAAACUCCUUUCAGCCAUGACGAAGCCCUUGUGGUGACGGUAGUGGUAGAAGAAGCACCGGCUAACUACGUG
rnacentral:rRNA from 1 species